CGGACGUAGCCAAGUGGAUCAAGGCAAU
rnacentral:tRNA from 13 species